rnacentral:antisense_RNA from 1 species
CUUGAUCGCGCCCAGUCGCAGCGGCUCGGCGCGGUCCUGGCCGUAGGUCGCCAGCAGGGCCUGCGCCUC